rnacentral:misc_RNA from 1 species
GCAGGUUGGAGGAAUUAUCACAAAUUUCCUUCUUUGAUUUCGACUUGCUAAUUUUCCUUACAGUAUUAAAUAAUCUCACCUCUCCAUCAAAAGAAAAGAAUCUAUCUCUGUCUUGAACAUUAAAACACUACCCAUCAUCAUCCUCAGCAAGAAGAGGAAAAAAAGAAAAUUAAAAAAAGGUUGAUUAUCUCCUCUCCUGGUUUCUUCGACCCUUUGAAUAUGCUAUUCUCUUUGUUUCUGCAUAUUUGCUGGCUUUGUUGGAUUUAAACACGGUUUUGCAGUAACAUGAGGAACCCUUUAACAAUAAUUUCAACUGGAGUUUUCAAGUCUACUUUUAGCAGAAGUGCUCAACUUCUGGAAGCA